ACGCUCGACACCUACGGAGGCAGCAGUGGGGAAUAUUGCACAAUGGGGGAAACCCUGAUGCAGCGACGCCGCGUGAGUGAAGAAGUAUUUCGGUAUGUAAAGCUCUAUCAGCAGGGAAGAAAAUGACGGUACCUGACUAAGAAGCCCCGGCUAACUACGUGCCAGCAGCCGCGGUAAUCUGAGCGGCUGGCAAGGC
rnacentral:rRNA from 1 species